UGGAGAAGAAGGCAAUUGUAAUCACAAUACAAUAACAGAUCUACAAAUACCAAGCAAUACAUUAAAUCAAAAAUCUCAGUAACACUGUUGUAAUAAUGUACUCCCUGUGGUCUUAUUAAUGUCAGCUUAUUGAUAGCUCAAUUACCAGUCAAAUAGUUUCGAUGUUUUCUAUACUAUGAAGAAAAUUUGAUCUGAUUAGAUUAAUUCAGAUGUAAAUUUAUGUUAUACGGUGAAUGUAUCGAGUCAUAUAUUAUGCAGAAUAUAUGGUAAACUAACUAAAAGUGCUAACAAAAUUUCUUAGGAAGUUAUCGAUAUACCUA